GUGGGUAUAGCUCAGUGGUAGAGCAUAUGCUUAGCAUGCAUGAGGUCCUGGGUUCAAUCUCCAGCAACUCUG
rnacentral:tRNA from 1 species